rnacentral:rRNA from 1 species
ACGUAUGGAGCAAGCGUUAUCCGGAUUUACUGGGUGUAAAGGGAGCGUAGGCGGCAGAGCAAGUCUGAUGUGAAAGCCCGGGGCUCAACCCCGGUAGUGCAUUGGAAACUGUUCAGCUUGAGUGUCGGAGGGGUAAGCGGAAUUCCUGGUGUAGCGGUGAAAUGCGUAGAUAUCAGGAAGAACACCGGAGGCGAAGGCGGCUUACUGGACGAUUACUGACGCUGAGGCUCGAAAGCGUGGGGAGCGAACAG